AGAUCAAGGUCCGCUGGUUUGGGCGAUUAGUUGUUAACUAAUUUUUUGUAGGGUCGAGGCCUACUGGUCUAG
rnacentral:tRNA from 1 species